CGUGACCCGAGGUCGACGACGCACAGCCAUCCUAGCAAUCUGGCAGACGAGGGGCCAGCACCAGCUGACAAGCGCUCAGCUGACUGACGGGUACGAGUCGCGCCAGCACCGCAUGUGCACAGUACGGUAACUUACCGCAUCUUUUCUAUUCACUACGUCAUUACUACUCACUACAUCAUUAGACAUUACUACUACGUAGCCUUUAUACGCACUUUAAUACUACAUUGUACAUAAUCAUACAACUACUACGAUGCUGCAUAAUCUCGCGCCUUGUCAACUGUCAUAGUCUAUUAACUAGUAUCUUCUUCCAUUCUUGCAUGUUGUAUCCCGCCGUUAUGAGACGUUCAAUCAUUAUGAAUCUAGCUUUGUCCGUUACUUGUCCCCUUGUCCCGCCGUCUAAUAUGAUUAGUGAGUACAGUAUGUGUGCUCUGAUUGGUUGUUGUUAGUUAUUGUUAUGAAUAUAAGUCCCUGUCUUUUAUACGUUCGUCCUCUCGCUCCGGUACUGCUUCAAUCUUGAUCUCCUCUUUCUCCUCUUUACCUCUGACCUAUCUACAAGAAUGGCACAGGAAAUGCUAGAGGAGUUCAACGCCCUUUCGCAAGAAGCAGGCCAGGGGCGGGAGACUCCAACCAGGCAGGCCUUGGAACGGGCGAUUUCUUUGUUUGAAGGCGUGGGUCGCCCCGACCAAGGGCGACACUUGCGAAAACUAAAGGAGGACCUGGACUUCCUGUCGUUGAUAUCAUUCAGGAUAUUGGGCCGGCAUGCCGGUCACCGCACAGAGGAGUCGGAAGAGCCACCGAGAAAGAAAACUCGUAAAAACUCACGUAAGCCGCCUAAGAAGGACAAGGCGUCUCCUAGUGCGAAGAAGGACCAGAGUACCGACACGGAACUGCCUACAGACUUGCCGACUACCCCCGACAAGUCUGCGCCACAGUAAUGUGCGGCCACUUUUAUUGGACCAGAUAUAAAUUCAAUAAAAGUAUUGUUAUCUAAA